AGAGUUUGAUUCUGGCUCAAGAUGAACGCUGGCGGCGUGCCUAACACAUGCAAGUCGAACGAAGCAUGCCGGAGGAAGUUUUCGGAUGGAAUCCGGGAUGACUGAGUGGCGGACGGGUGAGUAACGCGUGGGUAACCUGCCCUGUACAGGGGGACAACAGUUAGAAAUGACUGCUAAUACCGCAUAAGCGCACAGGACCGCAUGGUCCGGUGUGAAAAACUCCGGUGGUACAGGAUGGACCCGCGUCUGAUUAGGUAGUUGGCGGGGUAACGGCCCACCAAGCCGACGAUCAGUAGCCGACCUGAGAGGGUGACCGGCCACAUUGGGACUGAGACACGGCCCAAACUCCUACGGGAGGCAGCAGUGGGGAAUAUUGCACAAUGGGGGGAACCCUGAUGCAGCGACGCCGCGUGAGUGAAGAAGUAUUUCGGUAUGUAAAGCUCUAUCAGCAGGGAAGAAAAUGACGGUACCUGACUAAGAAGCCCCGGCUAACUACGUGCCAGCAGCCGCGGUAAUACGUAGGGGGCAAGCGUUAUCCGGAUUUACUGGGUGUAAAGGGAGCGUANACGGCAGAGCAAGUCUGAAGUGAAAGCCCGCGGCCCAACUGCGGGACUGCUUUGGAAACUGCCCGGCUAGAGUGCUGGAGAGGUAAGCGGAAUUC
rnacentral:rRNA from 1 species